ACUAUACUGUCUCCCUACUCCAAUCAGUGAAACUGAUCUCCCCGUGAAAAAGCAGGGAUAUCCUUAUAAGACGAGAAGACCCCAUGGAGCUUUAAGCCCGGUAACAACCCCCUCCAUUUAUUCCCUUUUAGACUAAAAGACCUUGCUUACCACUUUAGGUUGGGGCGACCACGAAGUACACUAAAACCUUCACGAUAAAAGGAGCCUGCUCCUUAUCUACGAGCUACCCCUCUAAGAAUCAGAACCCCGAUAUAAAAUGAUCCGAUCUAAUCGAUCAACGAACCAAGUUACCCUGGGGAUAACAGCGCAAUCCAUUUUAAGAGUUCUUAUCGCCAAAUGGGUUUACGACCUCGAUGUUGGAUCAGGGUAUCCUGGUGGUGCAACCGCUACUAACGGUUCGUUUGUUCAACGAUUAAAACCCU
rnacentral:rRNA from 1 species